rnacentral:rRNA from 1 species
AUUGAACGCUGGCGGCAUGCCUAACACAUGCAAGUCGAACGAACCCUUCGGGGUUAGUGGCGCACGGGUGCGUAACGCGUGGGAAUCUGCCCUGUGCUUCGGAAUAACAGUUGGAAAUGACUGCUAAUACCGGAUGAUGUCUUCGGACCAACGAUUUAUCGGCAAGGGAUGAGCCCGCGUAGGAUUAGGUAGUUGGUGGGGUAACGGCCUACCAAGCCGACGAUCCUUAGCUGGUCUGAGAGGAUGAUCAGCCACACUGGGACUGAGACACGGCCCAGACUCCUACGGGAGGCAGCAGUGGGGAAUAUUGGACAAUGGGCGCAAGCCUGAUCCAGCAAUGCCGCGUGAGUGAUGAAGGCCUUCGGGUCGUAAAGCUCUUUUACCAGGGAUGAUAAUGACAGUACCUGGAGAAUAAGCUCCGGCUAACUCCGUGCCAGCCGCCGCGGUAAAAC